rnacentral:lncRNA from 1 species
GGCAGAGGAGAAGAAGAUUGGCGGGCGCGGAGAGAGAGAAGGUUUCGCUGUUGCAGGGAACUCGUCGCCGACUGUAGCGGGCGACAGGCCUCCUGCCACGGGCUGCAGUUUAACCUUUGUGUGCCUGAAGCGCUGAGAGAGAAGCGCGAGGUGCUGGAAAUACCCCUUUUGCUGCUGCAGGAAAAAGACCGUUCUGAGGGGAAAGUGCUUUGUCUAAGGGGAAAUCCAGCCCGACUAAAUUCUGAUGCCAGUGUUUCUUCAAGCAGUUCAUCUUGCUGUUCUGAACCCUUGACCUACUCAGACCAAGACAAACACCUCCACGGUUUACCUGAAGUGUUCGAUAGAUGUUGGUGGAUAAAAAGCUUUUUCCACUGUGAGUCAGCACCUCAGACUGUAAGCAGGAAGACCUUAUCAGCCAGCAGUGCCAACAGCUGA